UAGUUUAAAACCGAUAGGAUAGUGGCCUUUCGAGCCAUAGACACGGGUUCAAAUCCCGU
rnacentral:tRNA from 1 species